CCUGGUGGCUCAGACAGUAAAAGCAUCUGCCUGCAAUGCAGGAGACCCAGGUUGGAUCCCUGGGUCAGGA
rnacentral:tRNA from 1 species